GAUGAACGCUGGCGGCGUGCUUAACACAUGCAAGUCGAGCGAACGGACGAGAAGCUUGCUUCUCUGAUGUUAGCGGCGGACGUGUGAGUAACACGUGGAUAACCUACCUAUAAGACUGGGAUAACUUCGGGAAACCGGAGCUAAUACCGGAUAAUAUUUUGAACCGCAUGGUUCAAAAGUGAAAGACGGUCUUGCUGUCACUUAUAGAUGGAUCCGCGCUGCAUUAGCUAGUUGGUAAGGUAACGGCUUACCAAGGCAACGAUGCAUAGCCGACCUGAGAGGGUGAUCGGCCACACUGGAACUGAGACACGGUCCAGACUCCUACGGGAGGCAGCAGUAGGGAAUCUUCCGCAAUGGGCGAAAGCCUGACGGAGCAACGCCGCGUGAGUGAUGAAGGUCUUCGGAUCGUAAAACUCUGUUAUUAGGGAAGAACAUAUGUGUAAGUAACUGUGCACAUCUUGACGGUACCUAAUCAAAAAGCCACGGCUAACUACGUG
rnacentral:rRNA from 1 species